CCCUAUCGAGCUUUAACUUCAUUACUUAUUUUAACAAGUAAAUAAGUUUUUAUUGGGGCAAUAAGAGAGCACCCCUAGCCUCUCCUCUUUCUUAAGGUAAACUAAUUUAAUUUGAUACAUUUAAAAAUUAUCAUAGACACCAGCUACCGUAGGGAUAACAGACUAAUUUCCCUUGAGAGUUCACAUUGACAGGGAAGCUUGGCACCUCGAUGUUGGCUUAAGAUAACAGUUAAGAAGCAGCAUUCUAACCUUGUAGGCUUGUUCAGCCUUUAAUAUCUUACGUGAU
rnacentral:rRNA from 1 species